CAUCUUUGUCUCACUUAAGUCUGUUAGAGUCCAAUAGUAAUAACUAUGCCUCCUUGGUGUCUAUGCUGGUCAUCCAACUUCUGAAGAAGAUUAAUAGUUUUCACCAGAAUAUUGAUCAGAACACACUUUCAGACGACGUUCUGGAUUUGUCCAAUGACUUGAUUGGGGACAUUCUGAAUGAGCUGAAUAUAACUUUUGGCAUCAAAAGUUAUGGACAUCAUCCUCAGGAAGUGAAUAUUCAUCAAAUUUUCAGAGUUGUUUACCAGGAGCUCACUCAGGACUUUGGGUCUGAAAACAUGCUCUGUUCUGCCCUGAAGUCACAAAAUCCAACUUUAACGUCUUCACUGGUAGAAAAAUUGACAAAAGCAAUUGUAAAGACAUGUAGCCACCCGAGCACACCAGCAUCUGCAUGUCUACGUCCAAGUCAAACUUCAAUUGGACCUCAGAAAAAAAGAGAGGAAAAGACAAGGAACAACAUGUUUCCCUUUCGGCUGAAGAUGCCAACAUUCAACUGGAAGAAAUCAAGGAGAGGAGAACUCAGUGAAUGCAAGGAUUCUGUUGUUGACAAGACAAGUUCGUCUAGAGUUCAGGCAAAUGAAUCCUUGUCUGAGUUGAGAGAGUCUCCUGUGUCUGCUGGUCCACUGGAGGUGCCACUCGAGGAGGCGACCGUGGGGUGCUGUUUCUUCAGGAUCCCUAAGUUCAAGAUGUCC